UCCGCAGGCGGGCAAUUAAGUCAGGGGUGAAAUGCUGCAGCUCAACUGUAGCACUGCCCUUGAUACUGGUUGUCUUGAGUUAUAGUGGAGUGGCUGGAAUAUGUAGUGUAGCGGUGAAAUGCAUAGAUAUUACAUAGAACACCAAUCGCGAAGGCAGGUCACUAACUAUUAACUGACGCUGAUGGACGAAAGCGUGGGGAGCGAACG
rnacentral:rRNA from 1 species